CAGGAAGAGGAGGAUUCCCCUGACACAAGGCUGCAGGGCUCACAAGCACUGACAAUUCACUCAUCAGUUUCAGGACCCAUGAAGACAGAGCCACAGAUUCCCCUGAACAGAAUGGCAAUUUUCGUGUGGUGUUAAUUUCCGUGGAAGAAGAAAAGGCUCGACUCUCUGUCCUAUUUUUCAUGAAUACUGGAAGUAGGGAAUAAACCUGGAGUCUCACGGGUGAAAAGAGACAUUUCCAUAUCACCAGACCACAAACGUGGGUGUUGAUUCUAAGGAUACCCCCAAUAAACAUCUUUCGUGCUAAAGCCCAUUCCAGAAUUUACUUCCCAGCUAUCUUUGAUGUUCAUAUUGUCAGAGGUGGUGGCCGCUGAAACAGGCAAAGACAUGGAGCAUAUCUUGGGUCCAGGACCUUGGGAGUCCAGAGGAAGGUCUUUUUACCAUCAGCAUUCUCUACUGUGUUCAAUGACUGUCAGCCAAAGAUGGCCAGGUUCUCUACUGUGAUGGUGAAUUUUAUGUGUCAAUUUGACUGGACCAUGGGAUGCCCAGGUACUUGGUGAAACAUUUCUCUGAGGAUGUCUCUGGCUUUCCUUCAGAAAGAAAUGCAUUCAAAGAACCUACAUUCACAACAUAAAGAAAUAAAGCCUGCACCUACAGAUCUACACACAUGCCCAUGCACAUGCAGGAAGUGUUCAUCUAAGACUGGACCUUUUAGAAGAAAGCUGGCAUACAUUCGUGAAGGCAUGGGCUUCCAGGCAUGUCAUCUUCACUCACGAAGCACACACAAGACCGCCAAGCAUUAAGAUUCUCCUGUGGAGCCAGGCUACAAUCCUUUAAAUGAAGACAGACAGCUAGGUGGCUGCAGCCCAGCGCUACACCUCACCCCUCCCUCAGUGUCAUGCAGAAAAAAUGUAUUCAGAACUCAGAAGUGAAGUUGUGCAAAUCCAUCAUUGACACUAGCUUCAAGGUUACCUCGGGGGAGCAGAAUGUACCCCUGCCAGAGAGCUGGAUAGAUGAUGAUGGGGACAGAAAUUCUGGGGGAGUUGUAAAUGGCAGCCACUGCCUCUAUAGGAAACCCAAAGGGAACACAGCAGAAGAGGAGGUGGUGGAGGAGCCACUGCCCUCUCGAAGGGUUCAAUGUCAUUCUGCAGACACAACCAAAUAACUUUUUCUUCCCUGCUGCUCCUCCAUUUGAAAUGACAGCCCCGAGCUCGCUUUUUCCUUGAUUGUGUAACUCUGAUUACAGACAAGGCCAAGGCAAUCCCAGGGCAUUACUACAAAGCUAAGGGGUCCCCAAAGAACUAAAGAGUCAGCUCCACAAAAAUCCCGAUUCCUAGCAUGAAACUGAAAUAUGAAACCAAACGGGCAUAGAAAAGGUAUGUGCAUUCGAAUCACAUAGCAGUGACUGGAGUCCUGAGCUGUGUCUGAAGACUGUGAGAUCACGUUUGGAGCUGCUGAUUGGUUUUCAGUGAUGGCCCUGUUGCACAGUGCCGUGAGACUUAGCUCCAUGGCCAAAGACGAUGGUAUCCCCUAGGAGCCCUGUGAGGUUGCUGCUGUUCUCUUAAGACACCAGGUAGCCAUCUGAUCCUCCCUGAGCAAACUAACUGGGCAGACAGGUUUAUUAAACCUCUGUUGGUCCGACUUACAUGAAACAAGAGAGUUAUUUUGUUGUUGUUGUUUUGUUUUGUUUUAAAUUAAACCUGUCUUUGGAGCCUCCUGCUCUUAGUUUACAAGUCUUCUUUGCACACUCUAAUAUUUUAAGAAGCAGCAAACAUUAACUGAGGGUCUA
rnacentral:lncRNA from 10 species